rnacentral:rRNA from 1 species
GUGAGGAAUAUUGGUCAAUGGAGGCAACUCUGAACCAGCCAUGCCGCGUGUAGGACGAAUGCCCUCUGGGUUGUAAACUACUUUUAUUGGGGAAGAAACCCUCUUACGUGUAAGAGGCUGACGGUACCCAAGGAAUAAGGACCGGCUAACUCCGUGCCAGCAGCCGCGGUAAUACGGAGGGUCCAAGCGUUAUCCGGAAUCAUUGGGUUUAAAGGGUGCGCAGGCGGUAAAGUAAGUCAGUGGUGAAAUCUCUCGGCUCAACCGAGAAACUGCCAUUGAUACUGCUAUACUUGAAUACAGUUGAAGUAGGCGGAAUGUGUAGUGUAGCGGUGAAAUGCUUAGAUAUUACACAGAACACCGAUAGCGAAGGCAGCUUACUAAACUGAUAUUGACGCUCAUGCACGAAAGCGUGGGGAGCGAACAGGAUUAGAAACCCGAGUAGUCC